rnacentral:rRNA from 1 species
UGACGUCAAGUCCUCAUGGCCUUUAUGUCUAGGGCUACACACGUGCUACAAUGGGUGGUACAAAGAGCAGCUAACUCGCGAGAGUAUGCAAAUCUCAAAAAGCCAUCCUCAGUUCGGAUUGGAGUCUGCAACUCGGCUCCAUGAAGUUGGAAUCGCUAGUAAUCGCGGAUCAGCAUGCCGCGGUGAAUACGUUCCCGGGCCUU